UUCACUGCAGCUCAGUUGUAUGUCUGAAGAAAAGAAUACCUACCAUUAGGCUACACUUUCUUGAUUUUUUUGCUCAAAGAUGUCUUCAUCAGGAAACUGGAGAGUGGCUAUCAUCUGUGCUACUGUGCUGCUCUUCCUUCAUGUACAAGGACAUCAGAAAAACGGGAUGUCAGAUGAGCUUUACACAAAUGGGCCAGAUCCCGACUGUUGCAAAACCACAUCCCCUGCCAGAAUAAAGGAACAUGUCAAAAGCUGCUACGAACAGAGACCAAAUACAUUUCGGAAUUGUAAGAUACACUCAUACAUUUUCAUUACCGUUUCAAACGAAACGUUCUGCGUGGAUCCAGAUGCACGCUGGCUGAAAAGCAGACUUCGGAAACUAGCCUCUAGAGGAAUCACCUGCGAAGUAAUGUAAAAUGGGAUUUACCGUCAACGACCAUGAUGCGUCUGGAUGUUCUGAGCUGAAAUCUGUGCUUUGAAUUGUACCGGCUUUUACUCUGUCUCACAUAGUUGGAUCAAUGUUUUCUUUUUUCUUUAUUAAAAUGAGGCAUUUAAAUAAAGAAAUGAGUUUUAUUUAUAAAGCACCCUUCAUACUACAAGCCCCUCAAAGAGCUGUACUGUAUUAAAAACAAUAACCCUGCAAUCACAAACUUCAGUUUUACCCUGGUUGAGUUCUCUGACAUCCAGAUCAAUUGCUGUCAGUAAAGAUAUACUUAAUUUGAAGAAAAAAAAUGUUUUUCUAAUAUUUUGCUUAAGAAUGAUAAUGAAAUUUGUUGUACCUAGCUUAAUUGGAGAAGAAAGUGGAGAGAGCAUAACAGCAAACAGCACUUUGAAUCGUCCUUGUUACUGAAAAGUUCUAUAUAAAUAAACUUGCCUUGCCUUGUGUAAUGUUACACGCCACAAGCGGACUGUUAGCUAAAGUUAGUUUACUUUGGAGGAUAACAAAGUAACCAUCACUAAUUAAAUAAAUUGCAGUGAAAAGAGUUACCACCAAAUGGCUUCUACAUUAGGGGAAGCUGAAAACUACUAAGGUGUAGAAAUAGCCUAUACUUUAUGAGCUGCUGCAUAGAACACCAUCCACAGUCAUCCACUAUAAUGUUAUGUUUUAUUGACCGGUAGACAUCCAACAUUAGACCACUAAUUGGACGCUGAGGUGAAGUGGUCUGUCAUCAUCAUGUCACAAGCAUUGUUUUUGAACUAAGAAAUAACUCAAAACAUCCUGCAUAUUUUAGCUUUUUCUAAAUACUUCCUACUUUGUUUUGAUCACUGCUUUGGUCUCUCUUGGCCUUCUCCCGAUGAGCUUCAUGAGGUUUGUCAUCUGGAAUGGUUUUCCAACUGUU